rnacentral:lncRNA from 1 species
UGAGAGUGAAUCAGAUUUAAGUGAGGCACAAAUGCACACAGUCCCAUCUCACUCUUUCUUCUAGAGUCAUCAAAGUCCAGUGGCAAGACAAAAGUCAGGACAGUAGCCAAUGACCGAGGAUGCAGUGGACAACCUUAGUAUUUCUGAUGUUCAACCAAGCUCUGAACCGCACCCCCCCCCCAGUACCUGCUUCAUCUUCCUUCAUGGUUGUUUGAAUAUAUUGUUCUCAUCCAACCAUUCCACUGAGGGAAAUCUUUACAUGUUUGGUGUAGACAUCCCUUCAACUCACCAACAGAAUUGUAGCCUGAUGCUUACCCUCAACCUUCAUGGAGCCCCAGAACACUUGGAUCAAUGCACAGCUUGACCAGCUGUGAAUGUCUUUCUUCAGCCUAUCCAACAUCAGACUUGCAAUGGUGAAGCUCAGAUCUUAGGCACAAAAUGGGGUCUUUCCCCUUAGAGCACUUAGCCCAGCCUGGAGUGGAAUGAUCAAGGUGGGAAUGCCAGAGCAAAGAAGAUUCUACAAUUGGAUGGACUGAAGGCUAGUAGCAAUCUAAUGGUGUUCAGUCCCAAACUCACUUAGGAACUUUUAGAGCUCCAACUAGGGUGUAGCAAUCAGACUUCAAUCUGAAUCAAACCACUUUAGAAGCACUGAAAGCUUACAGGUCCUCAGUCUGUCCUUGUCAUCCCUGAAUAAGACAACAUGUAAUACCUCAAGAAAACAGUAGCAGGACCAAACCUGACUUUCCCUAUGUAAAGAUUAAAAUUUAGGGGAGAACUGAGGCAGGUAGAAAUUAGUUUCUCUCUGCAAGGAGUAUUAUAUUUUUUAGAGGUUUAUUAAAGGUUAAAGAUUAAAGAAUAUACAAGUAAGAAACAUGUGCCUAGGCCAGAGGCCUAGACAAAAUAACCUCACAUCACGCAAGAGACGCGCCUGCUCCAAAACGGAAGUCCAAAAAGAGCCAAGAGAGACCCUCAAAAGCCUUUGAAUCAGCUUAAAUACCUUCUCGAUCUUGGCCCAGGUGAGAUUACAAGGCAUUCUGGGGAAGUGGAGCAAAGGCUCAUGGGGAUUGUAGUCCUGUAUUCGAGUCUAUUUUUUACACCUACAAAAGUACUAGAGAGCUCAGCCCUAAAGUCAAGUUAGAAUUCAGGAAGAAGGCUAGAAAAAUGGACCCCCCAAAAGAAUCCCCCUAUGAUAUGUGAUUAUGGAGGUAGGGACAUCAAGACAUAAACAGAGAAGAGAGAAGAUCCCCAAACAUCUCUAAGCAUUGCCUCAUGAAAAAACACAGCUUGGGCACAAACUCAACUAGAAUUCAUGAUAGAGAUGAGAAGAUUAAAACACAAACAGUUAAAUAUAUAUAUAUAUAUAUAUAUAUAAUAAGCACUUAAGUAAAAAAUAGAAGAGAAAUGUAAGCUAUAGAAGAAAGUAUGGUAAAGGGAAUAACAGCUUAAAACAAGAGGUACAAAAUUUUGCCCAAGCAACAAACACCCUGAAAAUGAGAAUGGACCAAAUAGAAACCAGUGACUCUAUGGGGUAAUGAGAUAUUAAAAUAAAAAAAAGUUUUUAUUUCCCUACCA